UGUCACGCUUUUGAUGGAGGCGUCUCGCUCCUUGCUUCACGGUGACAGAAAGUUAGACGAAUCCUCAGCCUCCAGCAGGGAGAUUGUUCUCAAUAGGUACGUGUUCAUUAUUCUGACCAAGCCUGUUCCCACCACGCCGGUUUCCUCUGUAGAAUUCAGCAGCUGGAACAUUUGUGCAGUAAAAAGGUAACUCUGCAUUUUAAAGAUGGGUUUUGUCAGCUUUUAAUAAUGGGACCACAGUGUGACCACUACAUCUACACUGAUACCCUAAACCCCGCUGCAGGAACUGAGAGUAUCAGUGUCUGGGCUCGUGUGACAGCGGGGCGGGGAUGGUAAGCAGCGCAGUGACCCGGCGCUGGAGACGCACUGUGCACAGCAGACAUCAUGGCUGGGAGGGGAGACGGCCGGGCUACGGAUACGCGUUUGCCGGAGCACUGGAGGGAUGUGCGAGAAUGGAGCGUGGAGAAGAGACAGAGCCACCAAAUGUGGGUUGCAGAUGUGGAAGCUGUCCUCAGGUCCAUGGAGAGACAGUUGAAUGCUUCACUGGAGAAAUAUCCUCGUACAAGCGCAGUCUGCCCAGAGCGUUGUCCUCCAUCUCCUUUGAACCGCGGCGGGUGUCUCUGCUGCCGACCAGCUGAUCCGGAGAGGCGCCUUAAGAUGGUCUGAAAUGAUUUGGAGGCAAGAGAAACGCUCAGCGAUCCCGUUUUCUUUGCAAACCUGAACCCUUCAAUCCCUCAUGCAAUGACCUGUCCUCAUAAGCCGUUUUUGCCAUUCAGCUGAGGAAAGUCAUUUCACACUUGAGUGUAUCUUUACUUAUCCGUCCCCUGAGCGCUGAAAAGUAGAUUUCAACUUGAGAUCUUCCCGCGAUGACUUCCAGCUUCAUGUUCUUAAUACUCUGCUAACGACUGACUAAUGAAUAAACAAGUCUCUCUGCGA
ensembl:lncRNA